rnacentral:rRNA from 1 species
GUCGAACGAAAAUACCAAGCUUGCUUGGUUGAUUAGUGGCGAACGGGUGAGUAACACGUGAGUAACCUGCCCCUUACUUUCCUGGAUAACUGCUCGAAAGGGUAGCUAAUACGGGAUAUUCUGACCGUCCUGCAUGGGUUGGUUUGGAAAGGUUAUUUUUUUCUGGUAGGGGAGGGGCUCGCGCCCUAUCAUUUUGUUGGGGGGGUGAGGGCCUACCAGGGUUUUGAGGGGUACCGGGCCUGAGAGGGGGGAGGGUCACUUGGGGACUGAAAUACGGCCCAAAUUCUUAGGGGAGGCAGCAGGGGGAAAUUUUGCAAAAGGGGCGAAACCCUGAUGCACCAACCCCCCGUGAGGAAUAAAGGCUUUCGGUUUGAAAACCUUUUUCGUCGGGAAAAAGGGCAUUGUUUUUGGUGGUGUUGAGGGUACCUGGAUAAAAAACGCCGGCUAAAUACGUGCCAGCAGCCGCGGUAAUACGUAGGGCGCAAGCGUUGUCCGGAAUUAUUGGGCGUAAAAAGCUCGUAAGCGGCUGGUCCCGUCUGUCGUGAAAACUUCCGGCUCCACCGGGGGCUUGCGGUGGGUACGGGCCCGCUAGAGUGCGGUAGGGGUAACUGGAACUCCUGGUGUAGCGGUGGAAUGCGCACAUAUCAGGAAGAACACCGAUGGCGAAAGCAGGUUACUGGGCCCUUACUGACCCUGAAGAGCGAAAGCGUGGGGAGCGAA